rnacentral:piRNA from 1 species
UGCGUGCUGUACAAAAAGUGGCUGCCAA